GGAGAGGUGGCCGAGUGGUUGAAGGCGUUAGUCUCGAAAACUAAUAUGGGCGUAAGUCCAUCGGGGGUUCGAAUCCCCCCCUCUCCGCCA
rnacentral:tRNA from 1 species